CACGUAGGGGGCAAGCGUUGUCCGGAAUCAUUGGGCGUAAAGAGCGUGUAGGCGGUCCGGUAAGUCGGCUGUGAAAGUCCAGGGCUCAACCCUGGGAUGCCGGUCGAUACUGCCGGGCUAGAGUUCGGAAGAGGCGAGUGGAAUUCCCGGUGUAGCGGUGAAAUGCGCAGAUAUCGGGAGGAACACCUAUGGCGAAGGCAGCUAGCUGGGACGUUACUGACGCUGAGACGCGAAAGCGUGGGGAGCGAACAGG
rnacentral:rRNA from 1 species